AAGAUUUUUCAGAGCAGAUCUCUCCCAGGUUAAAGAGAGAGCAGAACGAAAAGCGAGAUGACCAAUCCUCAUCUUCUUUUUGCUGGGUUGACUGAAUUUAUAGGCUAAAUUCUUCCAGACAAAUGUACCCUUUGGUCUGCUUGUGCUGGACCAAAGAUAAGAACAGGAUCCAUUUGAUGACUUGCAAUUUUGUGGAGCAGUGAAUCUGCUCUGGGGUUUAGUCUACCCUUUAAGGGAGCUCUCCAAGGGGCUGAACUUUUUGCAAAAGUGGAAAAAGCUUGAAUAAAAAUUCUAUUUUUUUAACUGAAGGAAGAUAAACUUUUGAGGAAACUCUAAGUCCUCCAGUGCAAUUCUAUGGCCAACUUUUUCCAGGGAGUAGCACUGGAAUACCUAGGGAUUCCUAGAGAGGAUGGCAGCCCUGGAUAGUACUUAGAUGAGAGACAACCAAUGAAUAAUAGAUGCUGUAGGCUAUAUUUUAGAGCAGGAGUUCUCAAACUUUUUCAGUCGUGGAGCCCUUUUUGAAGCAACAGUUUCUCGUGGAGCCCCAGUAAAUGAGCAACCGGAGUUGCUUCUGGAGUGAGAGAAUUGGCCAUCUGCAAGGACAUUGCCCAGAGGACACCCGGAUAUUUUGAUGUUUUACCAUCCUUGUGGGAGGCUUCUCUCAUGUCCCUGCAUGGAGCUGGAGCUGAAAGAGGGAGCUCAUCCGCGCUCUCCCCGGGUGGGAUUUGAAACUGGCAGCUUUCAGGUCAGCAACCCAACCUUCAAGUCACGAGGCUUUUAUCCCCUAGGCCACCGAAGGCUCCUAGUGAGAUGGUAAAGGCAAUGAGUAGGCUAUGGCAAGUAAAGUGAGAGCAUGAUAUUGGUCAUCCUUAAGGAAGAGGAAAUCACCAACAAUGGACCUUCUUUACUGAUAAAUAAUGACAACAAAAGACAAGAACCUACAAGUCAGAAGGGUAAGAGAUACCACCAGCUUGAAUUGCUAUCACAAUGGUUCUCAACCUUUGCCAUGCCAGAUGUUUGAGACUUCAGAGCCCAUUAUGCUUGACCUUCCUGAUAGAGGCUUCUGGGAAAGGAUGUAUGAAGGAAUGAAUUCUGUGAAGCAUUGUACAAGUGUGUCUUUGUAUCCACUACGGCUCCAGGACCUACUGUGGAUAUGCAUAAGAAAGAGCAGAAGAUUCUUGACCACGUUCAAGAGGAAAAUGGCUGGAGGAACAGAAAACAUAAUUGAACAAUGAAGGUAGGUAAUAAAGAUGGGCUUUUGGGACUUACCUUGUUCUGUUUCGUGUCCCGGCUUUCGUCGAGGCCCUGAUCCAUUUUGUUUGACUUUCUGAAAUUGGGAGGUCAGACAUUUGUUUUGUUAUUGUUCUGUUUUUGAGGUUUUUUGUUUUGUUUUUGGAGCGGGGGGAGAAGGCCCCAUUCCAUCCAUCAGUGGUGAUGUUUGUAAUACAGUAGAGUCUCACUUAUCCAACACUCGCUUAUCCAUUGUACUGGAUUAUCCAACGCAUUUUUGUAGUCAAUGUUUUCAAUAUAUCAUGAUAUUUUGGUGCUAAAUUCGUAAAUAAAGUAACUACUACAUAGCAUUACUGCCUAUUGAGCUACUUUUUCUGUCAAAUUUGUUGUAUAACAUGAUACUUUGGUGCUUAAUUCGUAAAAUCAUAACCUAAUUUGAUGUUUCAUAGGCUUUUCUUUAAUGCCUCCUUAUUAUCCAACAUAUUGCC
rnacentral:lncRNA from 11 species